GGAGCCAGGCUCAGUGUUGGGGUCUCUGAAGGCAACGCUCUUGAGGUUCCUCGACCAUGGCCUGGGCUCCUCUCCUCUUCACGCUCCUCACUCAGGGCUCAGGUUUUUGGGCCCAGGCUGCCCUGACUCAGCCUCCUUCAGUGUCCGGGUCUCCGGGACAGUCUGUCACCAUCUCCUGUGCUGGAAGCAGCAAUGAUGUUGGGUAUGGUAGUUAUGUCUCCUGGUACCAACAAAACCCAGGCAAGUCCCCUACACUCCUGAUUUAUGAAGUCACAAAGCGGCCCUCAGGGAUCCCUGAUCACUUCUCUGGCUCCAAGUCUGGCAACACAGCCUCCCUGACCAUCUCUGGGCUCCAGGCUGAGGAUGAGGCUGAUUAUUACUGUAGUUCAUAUCAUAGCGUUGACACUCUCCACAGUGGUGCAAGUUGA